GACGAACGCUGGCGGCGUGCUUAACACAUGCAAGUCGAACGGAAAGGCCUGCUUUCCCUUGUGGAUUGCGGGUACUCGAGUGGCGAACGGGUGAGUAACACGUGAGUGAUCUGCCCCCAACUUGGGUAUAAGCCUGGGAAACUGGGUCUAAUUCCCGAUAGGACUGCAGGGUGGUGCCUGUGGUGGAAAACGAUUUUCUAGUGGUUGGGGAUGAGCUCGCGGCCUAUCAGCUUGUUGGUGGGGUAAUGGCCUACCAAGGCGGCGACGGGUAGCCGGCCUGAGAGGGUGGACGGCCACAUUGGGACUGAGAUACGGCCCAGACUCCUACGGGAGGCAGCAGUGGGGAAUAUUGCACAAUGGGCGGAAGCCUGAUGCAGCGACGCCGCGUGGGGGAUGACGGCCUUCGGGUGGUAAACUCCUUUCGACCGCGAGGAAGCCACCUGGUUGAAAGGGUGGUGACGGUAGUGGUAGAAGAAGCACCGGCUAACUACGUG
rnacentral:rRNA from 1 species